CAUAUUAAAGUUUAUUUAGAAUUUUUCUUUUACACUGAAAAGGCCUCAUUAUUUGGGUAGUAUGAGAA
rnacentral:tRNA from 1 species